GCCAUGAGCGUAGUGAAGGAGGCUGGAAGAAUGAGUCUUCUCGUAGUGGAGCUUGUACUUGCCUUCAGGCGUCUUGAAAUAAGUCUUAAUCCCCGGCGACUGAGGAUUCGCGGCAGGUGAAGAGGAGGAAGGUGGCGCUGAUACCAUUCCGUUAGAAGUGUUCAUCAUCUUUCUACUUCUUCUUAUUCUCUAAUCGUCUAUCCAAUAGCAUCUGAUCAGAAAAAGAAAAACAAAUCCCUUGUUUCUUUCUCUCUUCGUCGUCGGGAUAGUGGAAGAAUCAAAAACUUGUAUCCGUUUUAUCGAAUCAACUGCUUAUUACCGAAUCAAACUUUUAUUAUCAAAGCUUUUGACUCUCAAAGCAAUUAAAAACUCUGGAGAUGAGAUGAUUGAUCCGACUUCAUGGACUACUUUAGGCCCAGUUAAAGCCCUUAUACUGAUAAAACUGAGGCCUGAAAUUUAUUAUUUUUAAUUGUGGUUCGGUUUGGAUGGGUGAUCAAUCUGUUUUUUUUUUUUUGUUGUUGACUUGGUUCCAGUUUCGUUUGGUAACUUUGGUUGCAUGAGGUUUGGGUUCAGUUUCGGUUUGAAUUAAGCUCACGUUCUAUUCAGUUUAAGGUUCUGAAAAUAGGGUUCGGUUUGACCGGUAUUAAAAAUGUUUCUAUCGUUCAGAUUACAGUAACGUUUUAUACUGUUUCAAUUUAUGAGAUUUUCACUUUUAUUUGAUUCAUGUCGUUUUUUUUACCUAAUCAAUGGGAUGAAAAUUGUACAACUUUAUUAAAAAAAAAGAGUAAUUAAAUUCCUGAUACCCAAAAAGUUUUUGAUUCUUUUUUUUCGUGCAUGCUUUAGCUUCAAUCAGAAUACUCAGUUCUCUCCUUUAGCUAUGUCCUCUCUCCUCAAUCCGAUACAGAGGAAGGGUGAGAUGAACUUCAGUCAGAGUUUCUAUAACUCCGUGUUAUAAGUUUGAUUUCUGGGAGUCGGUGAUUUCUCUACACCGUCGUCGCCAGCUUUGGGUUCCGAGGAUCGGUGGCUCUGCCAGCAUCGGUUCGUCGGCUUUCGUCUCCGGGAAACAGUGACUCUGACAGCAUCGUUUUUUUCGCCGGCUUUUACCGGAUUCCGAUCUAUGCUUUUGUUCUCUCUUUGCUCAAUCGACUCUCGAUUCAAGACUCGAUGUUGGUUGUUCUUGGAUCGAUCGUAGACGAUUGUGUUUUCUUCAAUCUGUGUAAUAAUUGUUGUCUCAUUGAUAUUGAUUAUGUAGGGUUGAACUGUAAGACUGUACCGUUGGUUAUUGGGAAGGAGAUUAAAAUAUCUAAUGUGAUAAAUUUUCCCUUUUUCGAACCGUUGGUACAUUUUGUCCGACGUAGACAUAGGCACCCUCCCUUCCAUUUUCUGUUCCUGUUGAGUGGUUUAAAGCAAUCAUUUCAUAUGUAGUUGGAAAGAAUAAAAACAUAGUAUUUUUUAGACAAACCUGGAUGUCAAGACAAAUGAAAGUUGUUCAUAAGAAAGCAUUUUUGUUUUUGUGAUUUGUGAUGAGCCACAUCCUAAUGGUCCUAGCGAUUAUUGGUUGUGGUCCGAGGUUGUUGUUCUUGUUAUUGUGAUCUUCGGCUGCAUGAUUUGCACAGAUAACAGUGUGAUUUAUUUUUUAUUGACCUUUUUUUUUAAUUUUUUGAAGUGAACAUAGUUAUAAUUUGUUUGUUUUUAAAAAAAAUUGGAUUUCUUUCAUUUAAUUUAAUAUAAUUAAAGAAUAUGUAUUUGGAGUGACCAAAAUUUAAUUUAAUUUUUAUUUUGAAGUGAAGAUAGUUUGUUUGUUUGUUUUUUAUUGCCCAUCAAAAGGACGUAGCAUGAGUAUUUGGAAGUGUUAAUUUUUAAUUAUUUUGUUGGAUUUAAAUAUAAUAAAAAGGAACUCUAAGAAGUAAUGUCAACAUUAUGUCAAAUCAGUUAUUUAGUAUACAUUAUAUUUUAUUAUUGGUUGAAUAAUAAAUAUUAAUGAUGUUUUAUUUUAAAAAUGUAUAAUAUAAAUAUGUUGUUGUAAAAUUAAUACGGUUCAUAAUUUGUAUUUUUAAAUACAAAAAAUCACUACUAUCUGAAAGAAAAUCUACCUUAGAUUUAAGUAUUAAAUUAAUAUAUCAAUACUAAUAAUUUUUUGAUUCAAAAAGGAACUUGUAAAUAUAAAAUACCUCCUAGAAGGGGAGGAUCUCUGGAUGUUGAUUUGUCCAUAGUGUUGAGAUCAGCACUUCUUUAAACAAAAUGAAGAAUAUUAAAAUGAUUGUUCAGAUCGACCACCAAAAAAAAAGGUUACCUAAUUGGCUUUUGCGACGAAGGGGGUAGAGCUGGUUGAUCGUAGACGAUUUCUUACCAAAUGACGUUAGGAGGUUUUCUCGUGGGAUUUUGUAUCUACGUGCAGAUGUUGAUAACUUAAACGGAAUACCAAUGCUAUAGACUAAUCGUUUGAAUAGCUUACACUGAUUAGGUUGAAUAACUUAGACUGAUUUUCUGCAGAGGGAGAGACGACGGAUAAAUGUUAUGGUGAGCGUAGAGUCAAAGCUUGAAUAUAUAUUUUGAUUAACAUUAUGGUUUUGUUUCCAUAUCUUUUGUUUUUUGUAUUAAUGGCAGAAUAUAUGUUAUUUACUUCUUAGUGAAUGCAAGAAGAUUUUUUGCUAGAAGAAUAUUACUAUGGGGCCAGUUAAACUUGGUGAAAUCGUUUUUGAUUUAGACGUGUAUAGCUAGAAGUCUAUCUAAUAAUUAACAGCUCAACAAAAAUCAAUUCAUGCAUGCAUUUGUUUUAUUAUAAGGCAACUCGUAAAGGACGUAUUCCUUAUUGUUUGCAUGCAUUGCAAUUUGUUUACGUGUUCUUAGUGAAUAAUUAACAGGUACACAUAAUUAAUGGACUGGGCUGCGAGAUUGUUCUUUUAAUUCGAAGCCCACUCGCUGUAACCAAACCAAACUAAAGCAAUUUUAAUUCGAACCUCAUUCUUUUAAUUCGAAGCUCACUUGUUGUAGCCAAUUUUGUAACCAAAGCAACUUUAAUUUGAACCCCACUCACUGUAGCCAAUUUUGUAAUCAAAACCAAGUCCAAAUCUUUUAUUGCAAUUUUAAUUGGAAGCCCAAUCCACCAGUGACAUGGUAGUAUGAUUGGUGGGGAUUAUUUUGCCCAUGUGGCAUCCCUUAUAAGCUCUCAAUUUAGCUUCUUUUAUAUAGUAGGAUACUUCCAUUAGUCUCGAGUUUAUUCUUCUCUAAUUUAUUAUUUUAAAAAUCACGAAAGUAGCGGGUUAAAUCUAAAUAAACCAAUUCGAUUCGGAACCUAAUCGAUCAAACCGAUCCGGGUGGACCAAGCAUACAGUUUUUCACAUGCAUGUCUUAAUAAUAAUUAGGGUGGCUUAUUUAAUAGGUGUGGCUUAUAGUUCGGAGAGUGAAUCCAAUCCACCGACACUCGAGAUAUCGACGUUAUACGAUUCUGUGAAUUGGGAGCAAUAGUUAUCGGCCAAGAAUCGAAAAAGAAUAUUUCUUGCAAUUAUUGUAUUUUGUUACAGCUGUCUUGAAUCUUGAGUGGUAGUGUGGUACCUAGACAUCACAAGCUUAAGCUAAAGCUGAAUAGAGAGAGCAACAGCAACAACAAAAAACAUUAUUGCAUUUGCAACUAAUCUCGGGUGAUCCUUUUAGAAUCUAUAAGUAAACUCAUUUUAACCGGAAGAGAGCAAUAAUACCCCUAUUAUGGCAACUAAUUCUUGACUGAUCUUAAAAUCUUUAAUAAGAACACCCAUUUUAACCACACACGUGUGUGGAGUAAUAAGGUUUUCAAACACCUUUACACAUCUAUACAUAGUUACUGACACUCCUCUCAGAGAUGAGACUAGGAUCCGACAAAAAUAAUAGAUGAUGUCUUAUGGUAUUAUCAAACAAGUACUCGUGUCAAUUAUGUUGUCACAUCAAUAUGAUCAAGAAAGGGGUGUGUAUGAUUAAGGGAAGAGACAAAGCAAUGAAUAUUCCAAAAAUCGGUGGGUAAGUGAGUCUUCCCUAGACUUAUCUCUUGUCGGUCGUGUCACUGGUUCUCUUUUUCCUUUUCCACGAUUGUGGUUAAUACUGAACUCCAAUCCCGUUUACUCGAAUUGUUGAAAAGGUCUCGUGUCAAGAGGCAAGGUGAAGAAUAAAUAAAACAUAUAUAAGAAAAUAAUGAUAGAAUUGAAGUUUUUUUUCCUACAAUAGCUAGGAAAUAUGAAGUAGAAAUGACUUCAGUAAUUAAUGACUUCAGUAGUUAAUAAUUUAUAGAAACAAAACAAAGGCCACAAAUUUUUUGGAUGCAUGAACACUAUAUCUGCAGAGGCAUCGUUUAGUGUCUGUCUGCAAAGUGAAAACUGCAGGAAAAUAAAGAGUGUCUUCAUCUGAAGCACCAAAGUGUUUCAUUAUUAGCUUAUGAAAGUCUUUUUGGGCAUAAACUCUUUAAAAACCAAACACUUUCUUAUAAUUACAUCAGAAAAUUCUCUUUAGUCUCUCACCCAAUCUUCUUCUCUAUCGUCCACAAGUUUGUCAGAGCCUCCAAUAUACAGUCAGAUUUCAGAUUUUGAUCUCUCUAAGAAAAAACACCCAGCAGAGAUUUUUAUUCACAUGGCUUUUCUUUCCACUUUAGAUUGGAGAGAACAUGACUAUAUAAUAGGACCUGAUUUUCAGACGGUAUGAUCUCUGUUAUGACUUUAAACUAGAACCACCGAUCUUACUGCUCAGUGAACCUUUGUUGUCUUUGGGGAAGCUUGUGCUCAAGAGAGCUAUUGCAGGAUUUGCUUCUGAGCUGUUGGAUUGGGUUUCUGAGACACUAGGCCGUGUCCAGAUCUUUAUAUGGCCUUCUCGACAAGCUGUUACCACUGAUUCUUGUGUGAACAUCAAGCCGGAGAGGGGCUCGGUGUGAACACGGUGAGCUAUGACCGGCGAGAGCUUUGGAACAUCACGCUUGCAAGGAGCGGGUUGAAGAGUUCCCAUUGGUAUGACAUUGUCCCAGUGAGCCGAUUGGCUUCCCGUGCUGUAAGUGGGAGAUUCUCCUGGAGGUCGCCUAAGUGGUACCACGAUCUCGUCCAUUUCCAGGUCCCAGAGAAGUAUUUGUGUGUCCUGCGGAUUCAGCAGAGGAAAGCAUCAACGUGAGAGAUAGCAGUGACUUUGGAAAACAUAUACUAUCCAAUAUUUUCACACAUUAAGAAAACAUAUUAAAUCACUACAAUAAAUGUAUAGUUUUCUUUAAUUUUCAGUGUUAAUAGCUUUUCAAUAUAGGCAAUUAAUUUUCUUGAAAUUUACUAUUUUUUCAUAAAAAUACACAAAAAUCUAUCUUUGUGAAUUUUUUUUCUCUAUAAUAUCUAUCUCAUGGAGAGGAGGGAGUAUAUGCAAAGGAGCACCUGACCAACUGAUCCAAACCGGUACAUGAUAUGCUCUCCUGACCCAUCUGUAUUUGGUGACGACCAAUAGGAAUCAAACGCUACUCCACUUACCCAAGAAUUAUGUCCCUCACCCCAAGCCACGACCUUCCGAUCAUCCAUACUCCAGACUUGAACCAAGUCAUCUUCACCUCCAGUCAAUAUGUACUUUCCAUCCAUACUGUUUAUAUAAUCACGUUGUCAGUGGCCAAGAGGUAAUAUUCUCACUACAAUAUGCUAUCUACUUCAUAUUCAAAAAAGAACAAUUUUUUUUGUCAAAUGAAUUAUAUUCAGUCACCUCCAAGAACAGCACAGCAGAGCACCGUAAUAACUUUUUCCACCACAUACCAGCUUCUGCGUUGAGAAGUCAAAAAUGCGAAGAUAACCUGUAAAAUGGUAAGAAAAACUUUACGAUCAACUAAGAAACACAUAGAGAAAGAAUAAGAACGAAUGGAGAAGUCUUACCAUCUCUUCCAACAGUCGCCAAGUGUGACCCAUCAUUUGAGAAUGCAAUGCUGUUGAUUGAACCUUGGCAGAUAUGCCAUCUCGCAACAGGAUUACUCUGCAUGAAUACUCACCGAAAUCAACAAAGGUACAUCUAUAUACACUCAAGAAUAGAAAAGAAAUAAUAAAAUUGUUAAGACAACUAGCAACUGAUGAUACUAUCAGAGAGUAGCACCUAUAUAAGGAUCUAGGGGUAUGGAUGGAUGCGAACUCAAAUACCUUGCUAUUUUUUGCUUUGUCAACUGAAAAUUGUGUAGGAUCUCUUAAAGCGGGAAAUGUUGAAUCAGUGGCACUAUCUUUGUUCUAUAAGUUCAAAUUAAUCAGGAUCAAGUUAGAUUAGAUCAGGCAAAUAAAAUAAUACGUAAGAAAAAAUAGUUUUUUGAUCUAUGAGCUUGCCUUCUCAUACACGUACAAAUUGCCAUCGGCAUGAGCAACGACAAAUGAUCCAUCACCUCCAGGCACCCAAGCUAAACUAGUACAACGGCUGUGACACAGCAACAAAAUUAAAUUUAAAUCUUAGAGAGAAAAUGACACCAAAACAAAAUUAAGUUCCAGAGAUAAAAAGGACUUUUGGCCAGAUUCAUGAUAUAAACUCAAGCUACUUAAACUGUUAUCCCCAGAGACUGCAUCCUGUUCUGUAGUAUUUAGACUAAUCUACUGUCAAGAGUUUCCAAGAGCAUGCAUCCAUAACAAUGACACAAAAUCUAUUAUAUAAAACGUGUUUCACUGUGGACUUAUGUUUCAUCUUAAUCACCUAAAAACAGUUCUCCUCUGAGACUACAUCUUGUCUGUACUCUGUACUAAUUUGACUAAGCUUGCCGCAAUGACAAAACAUUAGAAGAAGUACACGCAAAAAGAGGUGGCUGUUAAAAGAAUGAACUACAAGUAAAAAGAAAAACUCUUGCCUGUUAUUCACAGAGCCGUCCUUGUUAUAAUGCAGUGCUCCAACUAGCUUCUUAGAGAUAUCUUGUAACUGCUGUCUCAGGGAUACAGUGUACACUACGAUAACACAACAUUACAAGAAACCCAUCAGACAAGGCAUCUUGAUCAUAGGUUUAAAAAAUUCAGCUCAAAAAUUUCUACAUUACCAUCCCCAGAAUUGAGCCCAAUAAGUAAAUCAUGUCCAUCCUUAGCAUCCGGAUCAAAAGCAUGGCACAUAGGGUUUGAAUUGCUGAAAUGAAUAGACUUUACUGGAUCCUACAUCACCAAAAAGAAUCCAUAUCAAUUACAAGUUACAACCAAGUCUUGAAAAAAAGAAAAAAGAAAUGAUCAGCAGUAAUUUUACCUUGUCUUGUGAGUUCAAGUCACAGAUAAAAAUAGCAUCACCCACAUUGAAGACCAAGUAAGUUCCUUUCCCAUCGAAGUUUGUAUUCGUCAUCGAAGUGCCAGAACUAGAAGCAGCAAAGGAGCCACUAAUCCUUGAACUAGUACUCACAGUUUUGCCCCCUCCAUUACCUCCAACAAAACCAAGCGCACGGUUCCCAUUUCCAGUGCCUAGCAAUCUCGCUGUAGCUGAACGGAACCCGCUACUAGUAGUGUAACCCGACAAAGUACCGGUCGGAGUGGAAGGAGCAGCUCUUUCCUUAAGCUGAGCUAGAGUUACCUGACAACGCAAAAUGGAUCUCUCAUUGCAAUGCUAGUGAAACCCAUUGAUCAAGUUACAACCUUUAAGCAUUGCAACCUUAAGCAUAAUCUAAAGGAAACCCUCAUUUGCUAAAAUCUAAAGGAAAGCAAUACUAGUGAAACCCAUUAAGAAAGUUAAAACCUUUAAGCAUAAUCUUAAGGAGCCAAGCAAAAGGAAACUCUCGUUUGCUAUAAGCUAAAGGAAAGCAAUGCUAGUGAAACCCAUUGAUCAAGUUACAACUUUUAAAGCAUUGCAAUUCAAAUCUCACUAUCAAACCGAUUGAUUCUCUCAAAUUUGCAAUUGGGCAAGUCAGGAAUCAAAAACCCAAAUCGCAUUCCAAUCGAAGUAUAAAAAACCAAAUCUUUUCACCUGAGUAACGGUUUUGCCAUGAGCGUAGUGAAGGAGGCUGGAAGAAUGAGUCUUCUCGUAGUGGAGCUUGUACUUGCCUUCAGGCGUCUUGAAAUAAGUCUUAAUCCCCGGCGACUGAGGAUUCGCGGCAGGUGAAGAGGAGGAAGGUGGCGCUGAUACCAUUCCGUUAGAAGUGUUCAUCAUCUUUCUACUUCUUCUUAUUCUCUAAUCGUCUAU
rnacentral:lncRNA from 1 species